AGUGAACGCUGGCGGCAGGCCUAACACAUGCAAGUCGAGCGGCAGCGCGGGGGCAACCCUGGCGGCGAGCGGCGGACGGGUGAGGAAUUCGUCGGAAUCUGCCUUUUUGUGGGGGAUAACGUAGGGAAACUUACGCUAAUACCGCAUACGUCCUACGGGAGAAAGUGGGGGACCGCAAGGCCUCACGCAGAAAGAUGAGCCGACGACCGAUUAGCUAGUUGGUGGGGUAAAGGCCCACCAAGGCGACGAUCGGUAGCUGGUCUGAGAGGAUGAUCAGCCACACUGGGACUGAGACACGGCCCAGACUCCUACGGGAGGCAGCAGUGGGGAAUAUUGGACAAUGGGCGCAAGCCUGAUCCAGCCAUGCCGCGUGUGUGAAGAAGGCCUUCGGGUUGUAAAGCACUUUUGUCCGGAAAGAAAUCCAUGGAGCUAAUACCUUCGGGGGAUGACGGUACCGGAAGAAUAAGCACCGGCUAACUUCGUG
rnacentral:rRNA from 1 species